UACAGAGGUCCCAAGCGUUGUUCGGAUUCACUGGGCGUAAAGGGUGCGUAGGUGGUCGGGUAAGUUUGAUGUGAAAGCUCGGAGCUUAACUCCGAAAUGGCAUUGAAUACUAUCCGGCUGGAGGGUCGGAGGGGAGACUGGAAUUCUCGGUGUAGCAGUGAAAUGCGUAGAGAUGCGGCGGAACACCGAUGGCGAAGGCAGCCCCCUGGGCUGAGAUUGACGCUCAGGCACGAAAGCGUGGGGAGCAAACAGG
rnacentral:rRNA from 1 species